ensembl:miRNA MIR9800 microRNA mir-9800
AAUUGGUUUUCAGACCAUUGCUAAGAUGUCUUUGAAAAGAAUGGUGCAAGACACUCAUUUGAUUCAGUUGGACACUGAAAUAAAUA